rnacentral:lncRNA from 1 species
GCUCAUCUAUUCUUCUGUCAUACCCUUGCAGAUGAAGAUAACUCAAGCCAGAGCCAAGAGCAAGAGCCUCAGAGACCACCUCCUGGAGGAAGACCACCUCCUGUAGGACGCCCACCUAGACCCCCUUCAGAGGAUGUAAACCUAGGGGAUGCUCCUGAGCAGCAACCACCCAGACCACAAGGCAAUCAAAAUCCUCCUCCCCCACCUCCUCCUGGAGGGCCCCAGGGACCACCACCCCCACCAGCAGGACCUCCACCUCCAGCCCCUCCUGCUGAUGGAGACCAACAGGAUGCUCCUGAGGAGAGAGGACCCCAAAGAGGAAGACGCCCAGAAAGAUCCCCUUCUAAGGAUGCUCCCCAGCAGCAACCACCCAGACCACAAGGCAAUCAAAAUCCUCCUCCCCCACCUCCUCCUGGAGGGCCCCAGGGACCACCACCCCCACCGGCAGGACCCCCACCUCCAGCCCCUCCUGCUGAUAGAGACCAACAGGAUGCUCCUGAGCAGAGAGGACCCCAAAGAGGAAGACAUCCAGUAAGAUCCCCUUCUAAGGAUGCUCCCCAGCAGCAACCACCCAGACCACAAGGCAAUCAAAAUCCUCCUCCCCCACCUCCUCCUGGAGGGCCCCAGGGACCACCACCCCCACCAGCAGGACCCCCACCUCCAGCCCCUCCUGCUGAUGGAGACCAACAGGAUGCUCCUGAGCAGAGAGGACCCCAAAGAGGAAGACAUCCAGUAAGAUCCCCUUCUAAGGAUGCUCCCCAGCAGCAACCACCCAGACCACAAGGCAAUCAAAAUCCUCCUCCCCCACCUCCUCCUGGAGGGCCCCAGGGACCACCACCUCCACCUGGAGGACCUCCACCUGGACUCCCUCCUGCUGAUGGAAACCAAGAAGAUGCUCCUCAGCAAGAACCACCACAACCAGGAAGACACCCAGCUAGAUCCCCUGCUGAGGAUGACAAGCCAGAGGAUGCUCCUCAGCAGAAACCACCCAGACCACAAGGCAAUCAAAAUCCUCCUCCCCCACCUCCUCCUGGAGGGCCCCAGGGACCACCACCUCCAGGGGGCCAGCCACCCCAGUAAUAUGGAAUUCAAUGAUAGGUAUGAUUCUAUUUCACUCUCCAUCAAAGGCCCUAAUACCUACUGUUUCAAACUUCACUUUGCCAAUGAAUCAACUGGAAACAUGUUGAAAGUGCAUAGUCCUAGGGCCCAUUUCUAAAGCUUUCUCUCCAGAUAUUCUAAAAUAGGGUCAAGACUUUAUUUUUAACAAUCUGUUCAAGGUAAUUUCCAUUUUAAGAUACACUGCCAUAAGAGGCCUUUUUCCCCAAGAUUACCUGUCUUGAAAUGGGCUGGUAAUGAGGAAGUAGAGCAGUGCCCUCCCUUUGGUCCUCCCCUCUGCACCUCCCCAGGCUCACAGACUUCCCACCUCAAGUUUCAACUCAACCACCCUCGCUCAGUCCUGCCUCACAGCAGGCUUCCUGGGUCCACUGUCCCCGAUAAGUGAUACUUCAAUUUUGUACUGUUAAAACUUAUCUAGUUUCUUAAAUAUUUACUUUUAUAUUAGUAUAUGCUCAAGGUAAAAAAAAAUAAAAGUAACAGAACAGAAUGGUGUGAAAUUAAA